UAAUUGGAGAGUUUGAUUCUGGCUCAGAACGAACGCUGGCGGCGUGGUUCAGGCAUGCAAGUCGCACGAUCCUUCGUAGCCCGUAAGGGCGAAGGAGGAUAGUGGCAGAAGGGUUAGUAACACGUGGGUGAUCUACCCUCGAGGCGGGGAUAACAUUUCGAAAGAAGUGCUAAUACCCGAUGACAUUAUCGAAACAUAAGUUUUGAUAAUCAAAGGUAGCUCUUGAAGGGCUGUCGCUUGAGGAGGAGCCCGCGGCCUAUCAGCUAGUUGGUGAGGUAACGGCCCACCAAGGCUUUUGACGGGUAGCUGGUCUAAGAGGACGGUCAGCAACAUUGGG
rnacentral:ncRNA from 1 species